rnacentral:rRNA from 1 species
UACGGAGGGGGCAAGCGUUGUUCGGAAUCAUUGGGCGUAAAGGGCGCGUAGGCGGCCGACCAAGUCGGGUGUGAAAUCCCUCGGCUCAACCGAGGAACUGCAUUCGAUACUGGCUGGCUAGAGUCCGGGAGGGGAUGGUGGAAUUCCCAGUGUAGCGGUGAAAUGCGUAGAUAUUGGGAAGAACACCGGUGGCGAAGGCGGCCAUCUGGACCGGUACUGACGCUGAGGCGCGAAAGCCAGGGGAGCGAAUGGG